UACGUAGGUGGCAAGCGUUGUCCGGAUUUACUGGGCGUAAAGAGCGCGCAGGCGGUCGUUCAAGUCGCGUGUGAAAGCCCCCGGCUCAACUGGGGAGGGUCACGCGAUACUGAUCGACUCGAAGGCAGGAGAGGGUAGUGGAGUUCCCGGUGUAGUGGUGAAAUGCGUAGAUAUCGGGAGGAACACCAGUGGCGAAGGCGACUACCUGGCCUGUUUCUUGACGCUGAGGCGCGAAAGCUAGGGGAGCAAACGGG
rnacentral:rRNA from 1 species